UACGUAGGGCGCAAGCGUUGUCCGGAAUUAUUGGGCGUAAAGAGCUCGUAGGCGGCCUGUUGCGUCCGCUGUGAAAUCCCGGGGCUUAACCCCGGGCUUGCAGUGGAUACGGGCAGGCUGGAGGCAGGCAGGGGAGAACGGAAUUCCUGGUGUAGCGGUGAAAUGCGCAGAUAUCAGGAAGAACACCCGUGGCGAAGGCGGCUCUCUGGGACGGUACUGACGCUGAGACGCGAAAGCGUGGGGAGCGAACAGG
rnacentral:rRNA from 1 species